rnacentral:misc_RNA from 1 species
AAAUCAACUCGGUAAAAGUGGAAACGUUGAUGACAUCACUCAGUGCUCGACGCUUAGGCCACUGUAUAUUUUCCACAUAGGUGUUACAACUUCCUUUCAUUUUGGUCCUAACUUUAAGUGUUGUAGAUUGUAACAAUGUCUCAGGAUGGUAGAACAACUGGGCCCCAAGGAGAGGAAGGAGCUCGACAACCUAACCUCCAACACCAAGCAGCAUCUAAGAGAGUACAGCAAACACAAGCUCAAGUUGAUGAGGUUGUGGAUAUCAUGAAAACCAACGUGGAAAAAGUCCUGGAACGAGAUCAGAAAUUGUCUGAAUUGGAUGAUCGUGCAGAUGCAUUGCAGCAAGGGGCAUCACAGUUUGAACAACAAGCUGGUAAACUGAAGAGAAAGUUUUGGUGGAAGAACUGUAAGAUGUGGGCCAUAAUUAUAGGAAUUGUCGUCAUUAUUAUAAUUAUUAUUAUUGUGUAUGCCGUUACUCAGAACAAGAGUGCAUAGUAUGGAAAUAUUGAAUGUGGUUUCAAUAUUUGCUGAUUCUGGUUUGAGCUCAUUCCAUUUUCAGACUGUCAGGUUGCAAAAAGUGGAUCUGUAUAUGUAUAAAUAAAUAUGUAAAUAUGCUAUACAUGAUGACGUGUAGCUAAUCUAGAGGUUGGCUUGGCAGCACAGCAUUUUCUACAACCUCAACUUGACACGAUCAGUUGUUGUAUGAGCCUUAAUCACAGAAAGAAAAUUAUCUUGGUGUUUUGGUGUUUCAAACUGUUUUCAGCAUCUAGCAAAUAUAUAGCAUAAAAGGGAACUGGUUGAAUGGAGAUCAGCAAUUAGAUUAUUUUUUUGGGGGUUUGAUUGUCUUUCUUUAUGGUUUGUAGAAAAAAUAAAGUACAGUUUCUAUUGUCUUACAGUUUUCCAUCAGUGAUUACCAUUAAAAGUAAAAACAAAAUACAAAUUGGAGGGGGAGAAAUAAAGGUUAUUUUGUUGUUUUUCUUAAAAUUGUAUAAAAUUCUUACAUUUAACAUCAGUUUGUUAUUUUUAAAUAAAUAUAACUAGCAUAUUAGGUUAAGUAGCAUAUCAGGUGUCUGUCAGUUCGACUAGUGUUAUUCAAAAGUAUUUUUCCCUCAUAACUUAGUGCAUGUAAUGUUCAACAUUGAAAUACCACAUCAUAACAUUAAAAAUAUCUAAUAAAAGGUCAUUGGUCCAGUUUUAUGGGUUUACAUGAUGUAAUAUGCAGCAAUUUUUAUGAUUAAGGGUUUCUUUUUGGCAUGUUUUAUUAUUAUUAUCUUUUUCUCAUAAUUCAAUUGCGUAAAAUGUUUCUUUUACCUUGUGUAGGUUUUAGGCCUUGUAAGUUAAAUGAUAACACAUUAAAUCAAGUUAUUAAAAUUUAAUUAUUGAUAUCAUUUCCUUCCUCAUUGUGAAAAUUUAAAGUCGUAUUUCCAGUGUCAUCCUUUCUUUUUUCUGACAGUUUUGGACACAGUUACUGCACCUGUAUUUUCAUGUGUGUUUGUGUACUUCAUGUUGUUGUUUUUACAGCACUUGUUUAUUCAGUUAAUAGGUUCUGGUUUACUGUGUGCCAUUUUUUUGAUUGAUGGUAAUCAAAUUGUCUGAUUUGGUCUUGAGCAUGCUGUUUGUUUCUCUGUGUAAAAAUAAAAUCCUAAGUAAACGUUAUUAUGAUUUAGUCUUGAACAUGUUUGUUUCUCUGUGUAAAGAUCAAAUCCCAAGUAAACAUUAGUUUGAUUUGGUCUUGAGCAUGUUUGUUUCUCUGUGUAAAGAACAAAUCCCAAGUAAACAUUAGUUUGAUUUGGUCUUGAGCAUGUUUGUUUCUCUGUGUAAAGAUCAAAUCCCAAGUAAACAUUAGUUUGAUUUGGUCUUGAGCAUGUUUGUUUCUCUGUGUAAAGAUCAAAUCCCAAGUAAACAUUAGUUUGAUUUGGUCUUGAACAUGUUUGUUUCUCUGUGUAAAGAUCAAAUCCCAAGUAAACAUUAGUUGGAUUUGGUGUUGAACAUAUUGUUUGUUUUUCUGUAUAAAGAUCAAAUCCCAAGUAAACAUUAGUCUGAUUUGAUCUUGAGCAUGUUGGUUUUCUAUAUAAAGAUCAAAUCCUAGCUGAAUAAUAGUCUGAUUCUGAUCAUGUUUGUUUCUCUGUGUAUUGAUAAAAUCCCAGCUAAACAUUAGUCUGAUUUGUACUUGAGAAUGUUGUUUGUUUCUUUUGACGUUAAAGAAAAUAGAUUGUCAUUUGAAAGAGAAAAUAUUAAACCUGCUACAGACUAUUUAAUAGUCUACUUAUGGCUUUAGUGGUGAAAAAAAAAAAAGAAUCUGAUAGUUUCAUGAACAUUGCACUCAUUUGUGUUGUUUAAAAACACCUUGAUUUCUGCAUUAUUCUGUGCAACUUUUAAUGUUUCUCGUUUUCAACAGCUACACAUAUUUGAAAAAAGCAGAUUGCCCUUAGUUUUAUUUCAUUACAGCUGUCAGUUCCUACAGUCAGUAUCAAUGGAAUGCUUUAACCAAGGAGUUAAUAAGCAUGUUGAGAAAUAAAAGUAACUUAAAUGUUUGAACAUCAUUGUAUGUGUCUUACACCCUUAAAAUAAUUUUAAAGAUGUAUGUUCCUUUACUUUAUGUGAUUUGAUUUGUUUGUUUUUUCUUUAUGCAUGUAAUAAAUCUGUUUUCUAAAAUGUGAAAAAAAGAGGAACAAAUUUAAAAACUUCCUGACUGUGACAACUUUUUUUUGGGGGGGGGGGAAUCACACACCUUUUUAUGAAUUCAUCUGGUGCAAAACUAUAGAGUCUUCCUUUAUUCCUCUUUUAAGUUUUCAUCAAAAUAAUUGUUGUAAUAAGCACUGGAGACAAAAGGUAAUCUGAAAUGAAAUUUUAUUAUGUGUAAUAAAAUUACACAUUACACAUGUGUAAUCUACACAUUAUCUACAGAUGUCUGAAGUUUAUUUGUUUUUUAAGGGUGUCUCUUGAUUUUUUAAGCAUGCAAAGUGCCUAAAAUGUAGUAUUCACUGUUAGAUAAUACAACUUGUAUAUCGUAUACUAGUUAUAGCUAUUGAGAUAGGUUUUUAGUAUUGGAUUAUUGUUGUUCAAAGAUGUAAACAGAAAUAUAGUUUAGAUUUAGUCAGUCAAGGUGUUUACACUUCUUGUACACAGGUUCAUUUCCCCGUAUCAUGUUAAGAAAUCCUCAGAGUUAGACGUGUAAACAGAUCUAAUGUUGCAAGCAUCAGACCUAUGAAUGAGCUCACUAAAUUCAUUUAACUGAGGACAACUUAAUUAGUUCAUUUUUACUAUUCAGUCAGGCUAUAUUAAUAUUUAAUUUUAUACAAAUCAAACUGUUCUCAUUGGUUAAGAUAGGAAUAGAUAUACAUAAGUAAUUUAUCAUGUUUGGGUUUGUCUGCCAUUUUGUCAUGUAUCUGUAGUUAAUUAGUAUUUAAUUCAUGUUAGUAGGUGUUGCAAACGAAAAAGUAUAGUGUGCAGGGUGGCUGUUGUGCAAGAGAUGGCCUUGUUAGUUUAACGAUUUGGGUUCUAUUCUGGUUCCAUCUCACUUAAAUAGCUUAACAUAAAGCGUACUUGUCUUUUGAAAUAAACAGGAAUCUUGUUAUUCUUGAAAAUUGUUGAGUUACUUAAAGAUGUUUUGAAAUUGUUUUUUUAAGACUUUUUUUUUAACUUAGCAAAUUCAUAAUGAGCUACUUUAUUUAAAUAUCUUUAAAGAAAGAAAUAUUGGGAUAAUUAUUUUACGUUAGGAGUUUGCCUUUUUUUAUAUGGGAAAUGUGCACAAACUGAAACACUGAAAUAGUUUGCCAAACAUCAGGUAUGUCAACGAACACUAAUUUAUUGAAAAUGUAAAAAGAAAUCAUGAAUUAAUGAUUUUUAAGUAGUAUUUUCUGAUUACAAGAUUGUAAUAAGUCUAAAUCUGUAAUAAUGUAUGAUGGAAGAGGUUUAUUGUAGAUGGGAGGAUACGUGGUAAUAAUUAUGUAUGUCAAUUUACUGGAAACAAAAAACAAACAUUUCAUGUAUUUUUACUGGGAAAUUUAACCUCUAAAAAUAGUUUGUCCUUUAAUCUAUCCUAGAAAAUAGCAGUAACAAAUUGUACUUCAUAUUUAUACUAAGAAUAACAGGCUUUUGUUGACAGUCAAUAUAUGUAUAUCAGUGAAAUUAAAACAGAUCACUAAGAAAACACUUGGCAUGUAAGUUCCACUUAGAAAAAAACAAGCAUUUAUAUAGUUUUGGCAAGAGUAACACAGUUACAUGGGGAUGUGAUCAUAGAAAAUAUGGUAAUCAUAACUAUAACGAUACAAUGCAUAAAAUAAGAAAUACUGAACUUUUCGAUUACUCUUGUAUAAAUACUUUUUAAAACUUCUAAUACAGAAAGUUAUGGAUAAGAAUGUUCGACUAUUGGUAUUCUUAUCUGUAUGGCAAACUUGACAACAGAAUUGAUUGUGCUUUAUGCUCUUAACUCCCACUCACACUGUGAAGGACAAAAAGAAAAAAGUAUCAAAAGUGUAGCUGUAUGUGAAGUAGAACUUGUGCUUUGAUAGUAUGUUAAGUACAAAAAAUAUGCUGUUUUGAACUUUUUUGCCUUAGAUGUUUGAUUAGAUUUUUUUAAAGUUUAAAAUGUAUUUCUUUAGCUAAUAAUGUUACUAGUAAAAAUAAGUAAAUAUAUGAGGAAGGUGGAAUGAUAAUAUAUAUAUGUAUGUUUAGGUUUGGUAUAUGUUUUUUUUGUGUUUCAUAAAUUAGACAUGUUGAUGUGUACCUUUCAGAAUGUCCUGUUCGACUUUUAAUAAUUGUGGAAAGAUUUUGUAUUUAGCCUUAUUUCUUAUUAAUAAAAUUAGCUAAGAGAAUGAA